CCAAUAGCGUAUAUUAAAGUUGUUGCAGUUAAAAAGCUCGUAGUUGAAUUUCGGGGUCAGCAGGUCGGUCGUGCCAAUGGUAUGUACUGGUCUUGCUGAUUCCUCCCUCUUGACGAACCGUAAUGCCAUUAAUUUGGUGUUGCGGGAAAUCAGGACUGUUACUUUGAAAAAAUUAGAGUGUUUAAAGCAGGCUUAAGCUUGAAUACAUUAGCAUGGAAUAAUGAAAUAGGACGUUCGAUCCUAUUUUGUUGGUUUCUAGGAUUGACGUAAUGAUUAAUAGGGAUAGUUGGGGGCAUUAGUAUUCAAUUGUCAGAGGUGAAAUUCUUGGAUUUAUUGAAGACUAACUACUGCGAAAGCAUUUGCCAAGGAUGUUUUCAUUAAUCAAGAACGAAAGUUAGGGGAUCGAAGACGAUCAGAUACCGUCGUAGUCUUAACCAUAAACUAUGCCGACUAGGGAUCGGAUGAUGUUAAUUUUUUAAUGACUCAUUCGGCGCCUUACG
rnacentral:rRNA from 1 species